AGCCAAAGCCAUAUCACUCUGAAGCUCAAGACUAGUUACUCAAUGAAGCUAAGCAGGGCUGAGAGUGGUCAGUACCUGGAUGGGGGACCACAUGGGAAAACUAGGUUGCUGUUGGUA
rfam:Danio rerio chromosome 1, GRCz11 reference primary assembly.